UUGUGUCCUCACCCCCUCCGUUCGAGGAA
rnacentral:sRNA from 1 species